rnacentral:rRNA from 1 species
UUUUCCCUCUUUCUUUAGGCCUAACACAUGCAAGUCGAACGGCAGCACAGUAAGAGCUUGCUCUUACGGGUGGCGAGUGGCGGACGGGUGAGGAAUACAUCGGAAUCUACUUUUUCGUGGGGGAUAACGUAGGGAAACUUACGCUAAUACCGCAUACGACCUACGGGUGAAAGCAGGGGAUCUUCGGACCUUGCGCGAUUGAAUGAGCCGAUGUCGGAUUAGCUAGUUGGCGGGGUAAAGGCCCACCAAGGCGACGAUCCGUAGCUGGUCUGAGAGGAUGAUCAGCCACACUGGAACUGAGACACGGUCCAGACUCCUACGGGAGGCAGCAGUGGGGAAUAGUGGACAAUGGGCGCAAGCAUGAUCCAGCCAUACCGCGUGGGUGAAGAAGGCCUUCGGGUUGUAAAGCCCUUUUGUUGGGAAAGAAAAGCAGCAGGUUAAUACCCCGCUGUUCUGACGGUACCCAAAGAAUAAGCACCGGCUAACUUCGUG